rnacentral:misc_RNA from 1 species
AACGCAAAUCGCGCUCGAGGCCUCGGCCGAGAGCAUGUCUGCCUCAGCGUCGUCUCAAACCCUCCCUCCCCCUUUCGAUCUGAUCGAAGGGCGGAAGGGGAACUGGUCGUUUCAGUGCCUCGCCACUGAAUCGGUCGAAAUACAGAAGGACCCUCCUUUCAACCAGGGUCACGAAAGGUAGAUUGCCCUCGGGCGAUUCCUAUCGUGUCUCGAAAGGCAGGCCGCCCUACAGCCGGAGAAUUUCACCUAGACUUUGACCUGAGUUCAGGCAAGAACACCCGCUGAACUUAA